UGGGGAAUUUUGGACAAUGGGCGCAAGCCUGAUCCAGCCAUGCCGCGUGCGGGAAGAAGGCCUUCGGGUUGUAAACCGCUUUUGUCAGGGAAGAAAUCUUCUGAGUUAAUACCUCGGGAGGAUGACGGUACCUGAAGAAUAAGCACCGGCUAACUACGUGCCAGCAGCCGCGGUAAUACGUAGGGUGCAAGCGUUAAUCGGAAUUACUGGGCGUAAAGCGUGCGCAGGCGGUUUUGUAAGACAGAGGUGAAAUCCCCGGGCUCAACCUGGGAACUGCCUUUGUGACUGCAAGGCUUGAGUGCGGCAGAGGGGGGAUGGAAUUCCGCGUGUAGCAGUGAAAUGCGUAGAUAUGCGGAGGAACACCGAUGGCGAAGGCAAUCCCCUGGGCCUGCACUGACGCUCAUGCACGAAAGCGUGGGGAGCAAAACAGGAUUAGAUACCCUGGUAGUCCACGCCCUAAACGAUGUCAACUGGUUGUUGGGAAGGUUCCUUCUCAGUAACGUAGCUAACGCGUGAAGUUGACCGCCUGGGGAGUACGGCCGCAAGGUU
rnacentral:rRNA from 1 species